rnacentral:rRNA from 1 species
GACGUAGGGCGCGAGCGUUGUCCGGAUUUAUUGGGCGUAAAGAGCUCGUAGGCGGCUUGUCGCGUCGACUGUGAAAACCCGCGGCUCAACUGCGGGCCUGCAGUCGAUACGGGCAGGCUAGAGUUCGGUAGGGGAGACUGGAAUUCCUGGUGUAGCGGUGAAAUGCGCAGAUAUCAGGAGGAACACCGGUGGCGAAGGCGGGUCUCUGGGCCGAUAUUGACGCUGAGGAGCGAAAGCGUGGGGAGCGAACAGG